CUUUUAAAUAGUAUGUUUCGGACCGGACUACCUCCUUGACUUCAUACGGGCCUUCCCAGUUUGAGGCAAGUUUCCCUUGAUUCUGAGGUUGUGAGGCAGUGGCUCGCCGUAACACCAGGUCCCCCGCUCUGAAAACUUUACUUUUGAUCCGGGAGUUGUAGUAGCGGGCUACUUUCUGUUUGUAGGCCGCCAUCCGAACUCGAGCCGUC
rnacentral:lncRNA from 1 species